rnacentral:lncRNA from 1 species
GGGGAUGGAAGAUGCACAUGACAUUGUCCCUGACCUCAGGCUGAGAUGGGUGGUGGCGGCAGUUGGGAUCCCAGGAGGAACCUGGUGGAACACAGCCCCGGGAUGAUUGCUGGCCAUGUGGCUGUGCUUCUAUUCACUGAGGCCACCUCACCCCUCCAGUCUCCCAGUGCAUGGGCAAGAGGGCUUGGGAAGGGCAGGCUCUUGUUCUUUGCCCCAACAGUGGACGAUUUGGGGCCAACAAAAUCACAGCAAGGGGGUCUGUUCCUCCUCACAACUCACUCUCCUUCCCUGAGUACAGUUGAGGUGGCUGAAAUCUGAAGUAUGAUCAGAGGACUGGUUUAGCAAGAAUCGGUAAGGAUUUGUUCCUCGCCCAUGGGAACCUGGAGGCCGGAAGAAGUACAUAGUUUGGGGUUAGCCACACAGCGGGUUUUGCAGUCCUUCAGACAAAACAAAUUUGAUACCUGGUCUGAAGGAUGACUGUUUUUCCUUUGAGCUCAUCAGCCCCACCCCAGCA